rnacentral:tRNA from 1 species
CAGGGAGACAACAAAAUGUUUAGUAUUAUUUUGUCACCUUAGGUCGAUCGGUAUCUCACAUUCUUAAUUUAUUAAGAUUUUCAUUUCCUAAGUUUUUCUAGGUCACACCCAUUAUUUUUUCCUGGGCCAUUAGCUCAGGUGGUUAGAGCGCACCCCUGAUAAGGGUGAGGUCCCUGGUUCAAGUCCAGGAUGGCCCAUAUCUCUCUCUAUGUUGGGGGUAUAGCUCAGUUGGUAGAGCGCCUGCUUUGCAAGCAGGAUGUCAGCGGUUCGAGUCCGCUUACCUCCACUGAUUACCACCUCUUUCAUAAUCUGUAGAAAGGAAAUGUUUUGAGUUGUGAUCAAAUCCUGAACGAAUCUAGCUUCCUAAUGAAAUCAUUAAGAUGCUGGACUCAUUGAAUUAAUUUCAUUGUUUUCAGAGAACCUUGACAACUGCAUAGAUUAUUUUUAAAGACAAUAAGCAUCUUUAAUGAUGCAGAUUUAUUAUUUGUGCGAAUGCAUCAAUAACAAUUCUAUUAAGCUGAUGCUUCAAUUUUGAAGUUAUU